AUACGGAGGGUGCGAGCGUUAAUCGGAAUAACUGGGCGUAAAGCGCGCGUAGGCGGUUUGUUAAGUCGGAUGUGAAAUCCCCGGGCUCAACCUGGGACCUGCAUCCGAUACUGGCAGGCUAGAGUCUGGUAGAGGGGGGUAGAAUUCCUGGUGUAGCGGUGAAAUGCGUAGAUAUCAGGAGGAAUACCAGUGGCGAAGGCGGCCCCCUGGACUGAGACUGACGCUGAGGUGCGAAAGCGUGGGGAGCAAACAGGAUUAGAAACCCGAGUAGUCC
rnacentral:rRNA from 1 species